rnacentral:rRNA from 1 species
CGAGUCUUUGAACGCACAUUGCGCCUUUUGGUAUUCCGAGAGGCACGUCUGUUUGAGCGUCAGCGAAACCUUCCGGUCCCCGGUUUUUGUACCGGGGACGCGGGCAUGCUGGCGCAGGGGAUGCGGCCGCCGCGCUUCGGUGCGGGCCUGCCCUCCCCCGCUUAAACUUGGAAGCUAGCGGGCGCUGGCCCGGAUUGCGACGACUCGUAAACUUUACCGUCGAAGGCAUCCGUCCAGACCCGCCUCCAAACACGGGGGGUUCCACCCCCCUUGAAUCUUGACCUCAAAUCAGACGAGGAUACCCGCUGAACUUAAGCAUAUCAAUAAGCGGAGGAAAAGAAACCAACAGGGAUUGCCUCAGUAGCGGCGAGUGAAGCGGCAAAAGCUCAGAUUUGAAAUCCGGUACGGUUUCCGUGCCCGAGUUGUAAUCUGGAGAGGAAGUUCCGGCGAGAUCGGCCGCCCAAGUUCCUUGGAACAGGACGUCUCAGAGGGUGAGAACCCCGUACCCGGCGGCUCGGUUUAGCCAUGUGGAACUCCUUCGACGAGUCGAGUUGUUUGGGAAUGCAGCUCAAACUGGGUGGUAAAUUCCAUCUAAAGCUAAAUAUUGGCGGGAGACCGAUAGCGCACAAGUAGAGUGAUCGAAAGAUGAAAAGCACUUUGAAAAGAGAGUUAAAAAGUACGUGAAAUUGUUGAAAGGGAAGCGCUUGCCAUCAGAACAGGCGCCGGUCGAUCAGCGUUCCUUCUGGUUCGUGCACUCGGCCGGCGGCUUGCCAGCAUCGGUUGCCGCGGCGGGACAAAGGCGGCGGGAACGUGGCUCCCCUCGGGGAGUGUUAUAGCCCGCCGUGUAAUGC